ACGGAGGAUCCGAGCGUUAUCCGGAUUUAUUGGGUUUAAAGGGAGCGUAGAUGGAUGUUUAAGUCAGUUGUGAAAGUUUGCGGCUCAACCGUAAAAUUGCAGUUGAUACUGGAUAUCUUGAGUGCAGUUGAGGCAGGCGGAAUUCGUGGUGUAGCGGUGAAAUGCUUAGAUAUCACGAGGAACUCCGAUUGCGAAGGCAGCCUGCUAAGCUGCAACUGACAUUGAGGCUCGAAAGUGUGGGUAUCAAACAG
rnacentral:rRNA from 1 species